AAAGACUGCUAUGAUAUUUUUCCUUCCAGUGUAAAAUAUUUAUAAUAAAUCAUUUACUGACAUAUCUAUUCAUUUGGUGGUUAAAUAGAUAUAAUCCAAUCACAAAAGGGUAACUGUAUGGUGGCUGGUUAAGGUAAUUUCGCGUUUUGGCCCUUCAUAUUCUGUAAGGCGAAAACACCAACAUGGCAAAAUCGCGAUAUAUUUGUCCGUCCGAUUUUGCGUUUUCUACGAAGCGCUUUUCGGUACAUAUUCAUUAAAUCAUAGUUGUUUCUCAGUUUAAACAAACUAAAAAAUAAUUGAUGUUGUUAUACUGUAAUAUUUUUGCAUUCAUGUGUUUUGAUAUCUUUACAGGUAAACUGGUAGUUUCAUAGAAAAUGCAUAGCACAUUAGUUCAAAUUCAUAGACAUGUUCUGGAAAGUUUCUGUGCCAGUUGAUAAAGAUGAUAAAGCUGAGCCUGAACUUGACCUUUUCACAUUAUUUUUCAUUUUCCGAAUUUCUGUGUCGGGUUCCUUUCCACAAAUCUGUUUCUUUAGACAAGAGAAGAAUGUGGCAUGUAAACAGGGUCAGCCACUGAAAUGUUAAUUUGAAUAUUAAUAAAACAAAUGUUCAAAACACUGCUGACUGCACUGUAAAGCCUGUAGUAAUUGUACUCUACAAUGCGUAUGUUUAAAAAAAACAGUUAUUAGACACAAGUGAAGGUG
rnacentral:lncRNA from 1 species